rnacentral:rRNA from 1 species
CCUAACACAUGCAAGUCGAGCGGCAGCGGGAAAGUAGCUUGCUACUUUUGCCGGCGAGCGGCGGACGGGUGAGUAAUGCCUGGGAAAUUGCCCAGUCGAGGGGGAUAACAGUUGGAAACGACUGCUAAUACCGCGUAAUGUCUACGGACCAAAGUGUGGGACCUUCGGGCCACAUGCUAUCGGAUGCGCCUACGUGGGAUUAGCUAGUUGGUGAGGUAAUGGCUCACCAAGGCGACGAUCCCUAGCUGGUUUGGGAGGAUGAGCAGCCACACUGGAACUGAGACACGGUCCAGACUCCUACGGGAGGCAGCAGUGGGGAAUAUUGGACAAUGGGCGCAAGCCUGAUCCAGCCAUGCCGCGUGUGUGAAGAAGGCCUUCGGGUUGUAAAGCACUUUCAGUAGGGAGGAAGCGUUGUGUGUUAAUAGUACACAGCGUUGACGUUACCUACAGAAGAAGCACCGGCUAACUCUGUGCCAGCCGCCGCCGUAACAC